rnacentral:rRNA from 1 species
UACGUAGGGUGCGAGCGUUGUCCGGAAUUACUGGGCGUAAAGCGUGCGCAGGCGGUUCUGUGUGUCUGGUGUGAAAGCCCCGGGCUUAACCUGGGAAUGGCAUUGGAAACUGGCGAGCUGGAGUGUGGCAGAGGGGGGUGGAAUUCCGCGUGUAGCAGUGAAAUGCGUAGAGAUGCGGAGGAACACCGAUGGCGAAGGCAGCCCCCUGGGCCAACACUGACGCUCAGGCACGAAAGCGUGGGGAGCAAACAGG